rnacentral:rRNA from 1 species
CGUAGGGUGCGAGCGUUAAUCGGAAUUACUGGGCGUAAAGCGUGCGCAGGCGGUUUUGUAAGCCAGAUGUGAAAUCCCCGGGCUCAACCUGGGAAUGGCAUUUGGGACUGCAAGGCUUGAGUGCGGCAGAGGAGACUGGAAUUCCUGGUGUAGCAGUGAAAUGCGUAGAUAUCAGGAGGAAUACCGAUGGCGAAGGCAGGUCUCUGGGCUGACACUGACGCUCAUGCACGAAAGCGUGGGGAGCAAACAGGAUUAGAUACCCUGGUAGUCCACGCCCUAAACGAUGUCGACUGGUUGUUCGGGGGUUUGACACUCUCAGUAACGAAGCUAACGCGUGAAGUCGACCGCCUGGGGAGUACGGCCGCAAGGUUA